rnacentral:rRNA from 1 species
CUAAUACAUGCAAGUCGAACGAAACUUUCUUACACCGAAUGCUUGCAUUCACCGUAAGAAGUUGAGUGGCGGACGGGUGAGUAACACGUGGGUAACCUGCCUAAAAGAAGGGGAUAACACUUGGAAACAGGUGCUAAUACCGUAUAUCUCUAAGGAUCGCAUGAUCCUUAGAUGAAAGAUGGUUCUGCUAUCGCUUUUAGAUGGACCCGCGGCGUAUUAACUAGUUGGUGGGGUAACGGCCUACCAAGGUGAUGAUACGUAGCCGAACUGAGAGGUUGAUCGGCCACAUUGGGACUGAGAUACGGCCCAAACUCCUACGGGAGGCAGCAGUAGGGAAUCUUCCACAAUGGACGCAAGUCUGAUGGAGCAACGCCGCGUGAGUGAAGAAGGUCUUCGGAUCGUAAAACUCUGUUGUUAGAGAAGAACACGAGUGAGAGUAACUGUUCAUUCGAUGACGGUAUCUAACCAGCAAGUCACGGCUAACUACGUGCCAGCAGCCGCGGUAAUACGUAGGUGGCAAGCGU